rnacentral:rRNA from 1 species
GACCCGUCUUGAAACACGGACCAAGGAGCUCAACAUUUGCGCAAGUCGCUCGGUCUUGAAUAGGCCAGAGAGGCGAAAUAAACAUAAUGGUAUGAUCUCUUGUCAACUUCUUGUUUCGGCAGGGAGUUGUGAGAGCGCAAUACCGACCUGCUUWAUAUGCUUAACGGCAUGAAAGCGGAGUCUGAGCGUAAAUGUUGAUACCCGAAAGAUGGUGAACUAUACUUGGGCAGGACGAAGCCAGAGGAAACUCUGGUGGAGGUCUGUCGCGGUUCUGACGUGCAAAUCGAUCGUCAGACCUGAGUAUAGGGGCGAAAGACUAAUCGAACCAUCUAGUAGCUGGUUCCUUCCGAAGUUUCCCUCAGGAUAGCUGGUAUCAAUUACAAUCUCUGUAGCAUCCGGUAAAGCGAAUGAUUAGAGGCCUUGGGAUCGAAACGAUCUCAACCUAUUCUCAAACUUUAAAUGGGUGCGAGGCUUGACUUUUUUUGCUCUUUUUAAAGUCUUGCUUUUAGUAAGAGUUUGAUACCAAGUGGGCCAUUUUUGGUAAGCAGAACUGGCGCUGUGGGAUGAACCAAACGUAGAGAUAAGGCACCAAAUGCCGACGCUCAUGAGACCCCAUGAAAGGUGUUGGUUGCUCUAGACAGCAGGACGGUGGCCAUGGAAGUUGGAAUCCGCUAAGGAGUGUGU